rnacentral:rRNA from 1 species
UCCGUAGGGUGACCUGCGGAAGGAUCAUUAAAGAAUCGCCCCGUUUUUUGAAAUGGGUUCUAUUCCCAAACCGUGUAUACAUACCUUUGUUGCUUUGGCAGGCCGUCUUUUAGGCGUCGGCUCCGGCUGACUGCGCUUGCCAGAGGACCCAAACUCGUUUGUUUAGUGAUGUCUGAGUACUAUAUAAUAGUUAAAACUUUCAACAACGGAUCUCUUGGUUCUGGCAUCGAUGAAGAACGCAGCGAAAUGCGAUAAGUAAUGUGAAUUGCAGAAUUCAGUGAAUCAUCGAAUCUUUGAACGCACAUUGCGCCCCUUGGUAUUCCGAGGGGCAUGCCUGUUCGAGCGUCAUUAUAACCACUCAAGCCUCGGCUUGGUCUUGGGGUUCGCGGUAUCGCGGCCCUUAAAAUCAGUGGCGGUGCCGUCUGGCUCUAAGCGUAGUAAUUCUCUCGCUAUAGGGUCCCGGCGGUUACCUGCCAGAACCCCCCCAUUUUUUACGGUUGACCUCGGAUCAGGUAGGGAUACCCGCUGAACUUAAGCAUAUCAAUAAGCGGAGGAA